CUGGUUGACCUUGGGGACGCCUGCGCGAUGUAUGUGUCGCAGGGAGGGCAACACUCGCCCUUUUGGGCGUAGGGGACCGGAGGGGGGAGGUGAGGUAGGAGGGAAGGACUGAGAGCAUGGCUCUUUCCCGGAGAGGGGACGGGUCGCGACCGAGGAGAGAGAGAAAGUGGCCCGCUCUUGGCAUUCCGCCGCUCAGAAGCGAUCGUAAACCGAAGGAAGAAUAAUUUGCAAGAUUUUUUGUAUCCGAGUUGUGAUUCUGUAAAUAAACUUCUUAGCGUCGUCGAAAGUUAUUGAAAUCGACUACAGCUGUAUACUGCACGAGAUCAUCGCCUGAAGCUACUUGUACGAUGGCUUAUCACUUCGGAAAUAGAACUGCUUUAAACAUAACGUUCAUCGCCUAGCCUUCUCAUGAUGCAGGUACAAAUGAAGUAACUUUUCAGGAAACUCAGUAAUAAUUGGCAUGUAGUACGCGGGGAGGAAGAUAUAAAAACACGCUGCGGCUGCACAUGCGCGCGCGGUGCUCUUCAGUGGCGUGUGUUUGUGGCUUUCUCCGCGACUACUGCACCGCGCUUGUUUUUGUUAGAAGUUAGUUGCACUAUGGUUAGGAUUUUAAUCUGACUGUGCAAGGUCGUUGCUACGAGAAACGAACUUGCGUUGGGUGAACCCACUUGAAGAUAAUACAAGUCAGUGAAUUACGUUAUAUUCUGGUACUAACACCAUGUGUACAGUAAUUUGAAAGAGCACAAGAUGUAUAUAAUUAUCAAUUCUAGACAAAUAUGCCAGUUGCGUUUGGCAAGGUGCCCUUUGUUGCUAUAUUUGUGUUUGAGAAAAAUGAUGUGAAAUAUUUUUCCCGUCGUUAUAUUGUUUCCUGAAGCAUACUGGUUUAUAUUAACAGAAGUUGUUGUAAUGGUUAAGCAGCACUGUUCCAAGAGCUUUUUAUCCACUGUGCUGGGGUGGCAAAAGCACACCUCAAUUAUGUGCUUAUCUAAAGUUCAUGUUUCUUUUGUGAGCUUUUCUUAAGGCAGCAUGAAACUGAAAAAGCGCUCUUAUUUGCAGGUUGUGCGACUAAGACGUAGCAUUCAUUGUGAGAGUGCUACUUUAAUUUUAUGAAGUAAUUAUUAUGGGAAACAAAUCUAAAUUCUCAUAUGUAACUAUGUGUGCAGAAGUUUAGAGAAGGCUGACAAAAGUGGUUAACGGUUUUUUUUUUUAUGGCUUGCAGCACUACAAAUUCAAACCGAUAGUCCAGGCAUUGAUUGGCUUUAACACGACUAGAAUUACUUUCCUAAACGGCUCAAAUUCAUCAUAUAAUACAAUAUGUAAAGCUCGGCAUUAUGGAGUGUGCAUAUGGGCCACACAUACUCUUAUUUUAUCAAUUUAUGCAUUUUAUAUUGUGUAGCAGAGCUGAUGUAAUUUUCGUCAUUUAAAUGACCUAUAUCGUAAUCUGCGUUCUCCAACCACAUAGUGUUUACUAAGUACAUAAGUUUCUGAAAGUUCGGCUUGCAAUGGCACCAUUACAGUUGUCUGCCAUGAGCCGUUGCUCAGGUUAUACUUGUUCUUAUAGCGCAAUCUGAGUCCAUCAUUCAAGGCCCUUGCUGGUAUAUAAACAUAGACUUGCCUGAAUACAUUGUAUGUAUUGUGUGUGAGCUGUAAGGUCUGUGUGGUGCGCCAACUCAUGAAUGUUUUCUGGUAUCCUUAACAUAUGUACCCGGUGAUCUCACCUGUUCGUGGAACUGAAGCAGACGACAGCUUGCAGACGAAGAUGGGAGCGUUCUACCUGUGAGCCUGGUCGAGCUUAUAUUUUAUGGAUACACAUGCAUGGAUACACAUACAUGGAUUCCCUACAAGGACCCUGCGCAUCAAAAGCAAUCUGUCAUCAAUGUUAAGUAGACAGAUUAAACGAAACGAAGAUAUGACAGGUGUACACCAUAUUUUUCUUUCAUUUAACCUCUGCAUGUUUCCCAGUCA